CGCUGGUGGUUGAGAUUUCAGAUCAGGAGCUCUGGAGUCUAGACUCUGGACUGCAGCGAGCCAAAGAAUUCAAAUCAGUCACCGGUUCUUAAGGAAUCAAGUGACGAGGAAAGGGAGCAAGCUGAAGAGAUGAUGAAGUACUAGGCAUCACUUCCCCUGCUCCUUUGAUUUUCGUUCGCAUCAUUGUGGAGAAAAGCCUAGGGAUCAUGAAGCUGAAAAGUUGAAGUGGCAAGUAUCCACUUCCCUUGCAAUGUGUUGAGUUGGGACAUCAUCAACUGUCAACGCGACAUGACGGUCGUGGUCGGUCUCCUCUCCCGGUGGAUGAUUCAGCCGCGGCGAUCGAGCGUGCGCGGUACGCGGGAGGACGCUACACGCCUACACGUACGCGUGCACACGGCGAGUCGUCGCCGGCAAUCGACCGUCACGCGUACGUCCCGAUCCGGCUCCACUCACACGACAGCUAGCUACUACUCCGUCGGGGCCGUCACACUGCCGGCCGGGCGCGCGGCAGUGCACGAUCGCCGAGAUCGACCCAUGUAGAGCCCAAAGUAGGAGAAAAAAAUAGUAAUAAUGAUGAAAUAAAUAAAUAUAUAUAUAUAUAUAUUUAAGAUAGUGUUUUAGGA